rnacentral:rRNA from 1 species
AUUGAACGCUGGCGGCAGGCCUAACACAUGCAAGUCGAACGAGUGGCGGACGGGUGAGUAAUGUCUGGGAAACUGCCUGAUGGAGGGGGAUAACUACUGGAAACGGUAGCUAAUACCGCAUACCAUCAGAUGUGCCCAGAUGGGCUUAGCUUGUUGGUGGGGUGACGGGUGACCAAGGCGACGAUCCCUAGCUGGUCUGAGAGGAUGACCAGACACACGGGAAAUGAGACGCGGGACAGACGCCUAAGGUAGGCAGCAGUGGGGAAUAUUGCACAAUGGGCGCAAGCCUGAUGCAGCCAUGCCGCGUGUAUGAAGAAGGCCUUCGAGUUGUAAAGUACUUACAGCGGGGAGGCGUUACCCGCAGAAGAAGCACCGGCUAACUCCGUGCCAGCAGCCGCGGUAAUAC